ACUGUGUGUGGAUCAUGAGUAGAAACGUAAAGAGUUGCCUAACCUUUAGUUAUUCAGGGGGAGGCUACUGAAAUAAUUUGUGUUUUGCUGUGAUCUCGCACUAAAAAUUGAUAAAUGUUGUGACUCUAUUUUCCCCCUUGGAGCUGGAGUAAACAGAAUUCCUCUGUUGUGGAAGGUUCACCUGAAGGUGUCCCAAUCUCCAAAGUGGAUAUCAUUCCGAUAUGGCCUGUUAUACUUUCCAUUGAAAUCUGUUGCAUUUGCACUAUAGGAAGGCCUCCUGUCUGCAAAAUUGCAAUCCUCUACAGUUUACAAUUCAUCAAAGAGGUCACAUUUCACAGUCUUUCCAGACAAAUGUACCUUUACUAGUCAAAGCGGCGUCAAAAUUUUCACCAGUAACAGUUUCCUGCUCGCACAGCUGAAGGCUGUACAUAAAUGGAUCCCGUUUUUGCACUCUCUUGGUAGGUGAUAUACGGGUGCACUUUGUUCCUGCAGAAAUUUUCAUCUCGUCGAGCUCUUUUCGACCAUCUGCUAUCACAUGAAGAUUUUGCAAGUGGUGUUCCUUGCACCAUAGAGGGACCUAAUGCUGCUUCUAAGAACUAUAGAACCAAUUCCUCCAGAUGUCAUCCUGACGAAAUGCCAACACAUUCAACACAAAAAGUAUUGUCUCAAAAGUUUUGCUCUCUGACUUCUUGCAGCCAGCAGUGUGGACAGUGAGGAAGCACAUAUUGCACGCUGAAAACAUCACCUCAUUACAGAUGCAUCGUGCACUGACACUAUCUUGUGGUCUCCAGAGACGAGUACAACCUGUGCUAUGGGAAACUGGUACACAUCUUUGUGGAAACUGGCCCGGAGGUGAUGCCAAUUUUUCUUUUUCGCAUAACGCCAUCAACCUUCCUACUAGACCUUAUGCUAUACCAUCUUGAAUCUCAGGUACAAGUGAAUAUUGUUGUGUGCGACCCUCAGAAUUAAUGUACAGUCAUCCAUAUUCAGCUUAUGAAGUAAUAAACUCUAUUGUUGUCUCCCCCAGAAUAUCACUGCUCAACCAUGAUUAUGGAGGUAUAUAUAGUCUGUUUAACCAAAUUUUUGCCAAAUAUAUACAAUACUUCUGGUUUCGCUUACUAACUUCUAGUUUUCUGACACAGAAAGUUCCAUAUGAGAGGCGUUUCUGAAGAUCAGGAGUAGAGAUCACAAAACGAAAAACUUGGUGUCAGUAACAUGUCUUGAGGAGCUAAUCAGAGUUGCUGUGGGUCAUCGAAUUUGUCAGGAAGGCGACAUACACGUAUGCCACUUUUGUUAUAACGUUUAUAAUGCUCGUAUGAGCUUCAAUUGCAUUGUUGUUCUAAAAAUCUUUGUAACACCAGUUAUUUGUUUCUAGGUGUAUUUAGUGGAUGAGUUAUCACUUCGCUGUAUGGUUGCUGGUGCUGAGAAAUGCCUCGAUGACAUUUUCAUUGUUAAAAAUGGACUAUGGAAACAAGAUCAGUCAACAUGUGUGAGUGCACCUUCACCAAUCCCACAAAUGCCUCUGCUCUCACGAAUUUAUUACCCUUGGGAGAGCCUCAGCAAGACAGUACUUGAUGCAUUGGAAGCAGACAAUGUUCUGCUUCCCUCUCAACGACAGGAAGUGGCACAUAUGGCAGCGUCAUGGCCCUGCAUAUCCAUUGAAGGUGGGAGGCACUCCUGAUAUUUAUUCACAGGCACCUGGUUGGUAUCAUUGAGAACGAAGGGAGCCAGCAGGCAUAAAAAAAUCAAGAGGGCUACAUACAUAAAUGCGUGAGGCAGUGA